rnacentral:lncRNA from 1 species
UUUGGAAGUUGAAGGAUUGGCUAGCUGCAUCUUGUUCUGGAUUCAAGCUUCAUGUGCGAAGAUAUACAUGUUCUGAAUACCAUAAAUUCCUAUUGCUUGUAAUUAUUAUUUUGUCUUUAAUGAAAUCUUUGAUAUGUCCUAAGACCAUCUACUAAUUGUAACUUGAUAUUCAAGCUUGAACCUCAAACCUGAUUGUUUUCAACACCAGAGAUUUUGUCAUCUCAAAAUGAAAAGUUAAUUAAACUUUUUGUGUUAAAUUUGUAGUUAGUAAUGUCAUAAUUGUUAAGUAACCUCUUGAUUUUUUUUUACCUCUAAUAUGGUAAUUUGUAAAACUAUUAUUACUUCAUCCUACUAUCCAAAUAUUUCGUUAAUUGUCUGGGGAUAGACUAUUUCAAAUGUCAUUUAAACCAAUUUCUAUCAAAACAUGCAAAUAUUUUGUUGUUCAGAAUUGGACAAAAAUGAGACCAACAUAAACACGGGUGUAGUAAAACAAGUUAAUAAUAUUUACCACGACAAACAUUAGGUAAUUGAUUAUUUCUAAAACAUAAUUAUAACAAUGAUUAUAUCAAAAGUUAAGGCAUUUCCUAAACAUGAAUAAUCCUUGGCCAAUCUUUACUUUUUUGUUAAUCUCUUUUCAAUUGCUUUGCCGUCGUUCCAACAAUUUAACAAUGCAAAUACAAAUGUAAUGAUAUUUGGAUUUUAGAUGGCUUGAUAUAUUUUGUGAGUUGAUUUAACAUCAUUUUUCUAAAUAGUGAUGCAAGAAAAAUUCAAAAUGUAAAAACCAAUGUUACGGUUGUUUUAUGUUUUACAAGAACAAACGUUACCAGUUUUUAUUUAUUACAGAUCCAAAAUUUAUUUAAGAUGUCAUAAUGUAAAAAAUUAAUUGAUUAUGGCAGUUUAAGAAUUGAUUAAGAUUAACUAUUAAAUCAAAAAUUGAGAUAAAUAAUAAUAUUCUAAAAAUAAACGUUUAUUUUAUGUACCACAAGAGAGCGCCUAUAACUGUCAAUUUAAAAAGGAAAAGUUUGCAAACAAACGAUAGACCCACAAGAGAGCGAAAAAUCCAUGAAGUUACACUAUAUGAAGUAGAGUCUUGAUGUUAUGCGUGUCGGUACGCGUCAAGAUCAAAUUUCAUAUGAAGUGUGUUAAGAUCUUGAAUCUUAUUAGGUUUGGCAUCCUAUGACAAUAAUGUUUAUAUAAAGAGUGUCUUCGCUAAUUAUAUUUCCCAUAUAAAUUAGAAUUAUGUCUAAUUUGCCAUGGUUUGAAUCUAAAUUCUACGUGGAGAAUUUGGAAUUUUCCUCAAGUGAAUGAUUCAGAAGUGUAUUUUCGUAUUUGCAUGCAAUUUGAGACGGAGUAAGUUGAAUAUAGAGAUGAAUUAAUUAUUUAAUUAUACUAUUGAGAGCUGUAAAACAUCUCGUGUCAUUGAAUGAUCCAUGUUUGUUGUAAAAACUUUAGGCCCAUUCAUGCUUAGGUUCAGGGUUGGUAAAAUCUAGAUUCGGAUUCGCAUUCAUAUUUCUAUAUCUGAAUUCGUAUAAAAAGAUGUGGAUCCAGAAGCGGGUAAUAUCCGCGAUAUUCUGGAUAUUCAGAUCCGUAAAAAUUAAAAUUAAAUAAUUUAAUAUAUAAUUUAAAAGUUCAAUAAUUUAUCUAAUAAUAUCAAAUAAAAUUCAAUCAUAAUUCAACAAUUGAUAAUUCAACAUGAAUAACAUACAAUAAUCUCAUAAAACUACAAAUAAAAUAUAAUUUUUUAUUUUUAUUUAAUUUUUAAUAUAUAUAUUUACUUUAAUUUUUAAUUUUAAAUAAAAUUCAAUAAUUUACCUAAUAAUAUCAAAUAAAAUUCAAUCAUAAUCCAACCAUUAAUAAUUCAACAUGAAUAAUAUACAAUAACAUCAUAAAACCACAAAUAAAAUUUAUUUUUUAUUUUUUUAUUUAAUUUUUAAUAUAUAUUUUUAAUUUAAAAUAAAAUUUAUCUAGAUCCGUGUGAAUUCAAAAUUUCCAUAUCCGAAUCCACAUUUUUUUAAUUUGCAGACAUGAAUUUUUCCAAAUCCGGCUUUAAUUGUCAUCCCUACUUAAGUCGUAGCAUCUUUGUCAGAUUGUUCAUCAAUUCUAAUGACGUACAUAAAAUUUAAGAGUAUAUUUAGCAUUACUUUUCAGAUAUUGUUUUUAUAUUUAUUUUAUAAUAUGAAUAUGAUUAAUUUUAGUGAAUAUGAAAUUUGUUUUGAUAAUUUAUUUUAAAAUAGUAUUAUUUAAAAUUAUAAAAUAAAUUAUUUGUGGGACUCAUUUCUUUUGUCUAAUUUAAUUUAUUAUGAAAUUUUAAAUGCAAAAGAAAGUUACGUGGGUCCAUGAUAAUUAUCAUACAAAUAAAACAAGAAAAAAGUGGCACGGGUGCACUUAUAAGGCAAAUGUUGUCGAAAACAACCAAAUGUUUUUCUCUACUUUUCUUCAUUAAAAGUAUAAAAUAAAAUAAUUUAUUUUUCACCAAAUACAACAACAUCUCAGAAAAAUGUUUCAAAACAAAAAAUGACUUACCAAAAACAAUAUCAAACUAAGCAAUUCCCUUUAUUAUCAAAAUAAAGAAUAACAGGUUUUCUUACUUGCCAGUAGCCGUUUAGAUUUCAUUUAGGGGUGAAAGUGAAAGUGAAAGUGUGAACGUGAAACUAGAGAUGGCUAAGGGCUGACCGGCCGACCGAUACUUGGCAUGGUACCGGAUACGUGUUUGUAUAGUAUGGCACGGCAAGACACACACAGAGGCUAGGUUAGGCUGUGGAUUUUAAGAGCACAAUUUGAUUAGAGAUGUGGUAAAGCAAGACACGUGAAAAAACCAAUAAUAAACACGCUUCAUUAGCAGGCUAGCAUACGACCAUCGGCCAUCAAUAGCAAGCAGACCGACAUAUAUCAAAAUAAAAUUUUCAUUAACGUAGAGAUUUUAUUACUAUGGUCUAUGAAAUUAGAAUUAUGUAUUGUUGUAUUAUAAUUUGUUAUUGCAAAAUUAGAUAAUAUAGUUGUGUUAAUGAAAUGUUAAUUAUUAAAUUUUAAUUUGAAACUUGUAAGUAUUAAUAUUAUUAUGGAUUAUAAUCUAUAACUGUAUGUAAAUUCAAGUUAACAACAAAAUGUUAACCCUUAAAGAAAAUUUUAUUAUUAUUAUUAUUAUUAUUUUAUAGGCUCUAACUUAUUAAUUAGUAUUGCAUUCUCUUACUACUGAAUUUCACAUGAGCUUUAAAAAAAAUACAUGCACUUAAAAAAAGAACGUUAGGUUACUUAGGUUUGUAGACUUGAAAGAGCAUAUCAGACGCGCUCUCAUUAAAAAGAAAAAGAUUGCCGUGUCAUGUGGAGCCUCUCGUGCGCUCAUUCCUUUUAGGUGAAACAUAUUUGUUUGGGGAGCAUAAUAAAAAUAGGAUAUAAAACAGCUAAUAGGAUUGCUAACAAUGGGAUAAAUUGGAGUGGUAGAGAAUCUCAUAUUUAGGGGUGGGCAAAAAAAUCGUGCACUAGAGAAAAUUGAUCCGAACAGUUCCGUUCCGUUCGGACUGAUUUUAAAUUUAAAAAAUAACUGAAAUAUAUGGUUUGUAAAAAAACCGAAAUACAUGUUCGGUAUUCGGUUCACUCAGCUGAACCGAAAAACCGAACCGAAAAACCGAGUUAUUCUUGGAAUUUUAUUUAAAUAGACACGUGUUAAAUUUUAAUCGGUUGCGUGAGAUAACUAAAAUAGGCAUGCACACACACACGAUUACGGGUAUAUAUAUAUAUUUAAAAAUUGUUGUUGGUGUUUGUUUCCAAAUUUUCUUUUUAUUUUGUGUUGUAAGUUUUAAUUGUUGUUAUUUUUAUUUGUCUUUACAACAUUAUAUUUAUGUAGAUGGAGUAUUGGAGUUUGAUUAUGUAUUUUGAAAUCUUAAUAUUUCAUAUUUUGUAAGUACCUUAUUAGUAGUUAGUAAGAUAUUAGUGAUAAAAUGUGUUUUGAAUACUUUGUAUUUAUUGUUAAUAUUUGUAAUGAAAUUAGGAUAAAUUAAUUGUUGAAUAAAAUUAUUACAUUCAUGAGGCCUAAUGGGCUAACAAUUUAGAAAUUCAAAAUAGGCCCAAUAGGCCCAAAACCGAAAAAACCGAACCGAUCCGAAAAGAUCCAUUUAUGUUCAGUUUUUAUUGAGUUCGAUUUUUAUUUAGUUCUUUUUAUAAAAUAACCGAUUUAAAUCAGUUCUACUUAAUUUCGAUCCAAACCGAACCGGACCGAACCGUGCCCACCCCUACUCAUAUUCCUUGUAAAUAAUUAGACCACAUUGGGAAUUGGAGAAUUGGUGAAAAAUGCCGCGGCUACUUUGGGCCUUAGUUCGGGUGAAAUUUUUUCCCCCCUAAGAUUUCAUUUUUAAAUUUUGGAUGGAGUUAUUUAUAACUUAAAACAUAUUUAAAAUGCCCUUUUUUUUCAUAACACCAAAUUAAAUUAAAGAAUUAUCAUAUUUGAAAAUAUAGAUUUUACUCUAUAAAACCCAUCAAAAUGCCAAAACUAUUCUUAAUAUUUUUUUUCUUCCUCCACUCUCUCACACACACAUAUAUAUAUUGGGUAUCUCGAUAACUCUUAACAUUAAAAAAAAAAAAUUCUCUUGUACUGCUAUGAUACUCUUAUAUUAACUUGUUAAAAUUUUUUGUUGUUAACUAAAAUAUUUACGCACACACAAAAUUUACCUUCUUCAAUUUAUACGCAUCUACAGUCCUUUAUUUUGAAUUGUAGGUUUAAUUUUCACUUAUUUAAUUAAAAAAAUCAUCAUUUUAAAGGGUCCAGCUAUGGUACUAUAGUGGUACCAUACUACAGAUGAAUCCAACCGUUUGAUCCAAUUUUGAUGGUAACUGUAGGCUGGAUCCAGCCGUAGUACGGUACCAUUGUGAUACCAUAAUUUUGUCCCAUUUUGAAUUGAGGAAUCGUGAUCUAGUUUGCUUUUUGAGAACCAAAUUGCGAAAUCAUCGAUUGCUUUUUAAUAGUGCUUGCAAUAAUUUGUUUUUGACGGUGAUACUAAUCCGGCAAAAAAGUCGGAUGUAUUGGCCGACAAGAUUGAUUGUCACUUUUUCUUUUUUGGUGUAACCCAUUUUAACUUUAUUGCAAUCCAAAAUAGUAGACUGGUAGUCCAGUAUUUUCACUUUAUUGCAAUCCAAAAUGGUAGAUUGGUAGUCUAGCAAAAGGCCCCCAGAAUGUCCUUUGUUUUACUCUAAAUUGUUUAUUUUGUAAAAAAUUAUACACACACAUAUAUAUCAGGUAAAUAAAGGGUUUCUUAAGUUAUUAUGGGAUAUAUUAAAAAAUUAAGCAAAAUAUAUAUUUUAAUAUAGUAUAUUUUGUUAUAUAAUGUAUUAGAUUAUGUUUUUUUUUUUAUCUUUUGAAUUACCCUUUAAUUUGAUAAUUUAAGAAAUUUCUUAUUAGAACGUUACUCUCUCUCUUUAUAUAUAUUUAUAUGUUGGAGUCUGUUGAGAUUUUAGAUAUGAAUAUUUAUAAUAGGAUCUAAAGAUAUGUUGAACAUUAAUUUCAAAAUACACGCUAAAUACAUGGAGAGAAAUCUACUUUUAUUUAAAGAGAAUAAGUUUAAUAAGAAUAAGAUUCAAAUUCUUUCCAAUGAGAAAUAUAUAAUAAGAAAAUAAAUAUUUAAGAUUUAAGCUCAUUCACUCAACAACCAAAAAGAUACCCAAAUACAAAUGGCAGAUACAAAGCUUCUUCUUGAAUUUCUUUGAUUUUUUUUUUAUUUUAAAUGAGUUUUUACCAAUUUACCUUCAGCCAUUUAGAAUAUACAAAAUGGAAUAAAAACGGGCAGGGGAGGUAUUUGAUAAUACGAAAAUACAAUCCAUCUAAUUCAGAAGACCUUAAACCUCGGGGAGGUGUCUAAAAAUUGCCCCCUCAUCAUACGCAUGUGUACCAUUUCACUUUUCACCUUUCAAUUCACACUGUGAUAUAAAAUUUAAUUAAAAAAAAAAAGAAAAAAGAAAAGGAAAGUGAAGCCACGAAGUCAGUAGCAAUUUGUGAUUCAUGAUUUGGAUCUUGCUGCCGAAGGUCAUUCAUUUUUCAUUCUCUUGGAAGUCACCAGAUACGUGAGCUGCUCUCAUUUCGGUAUGUUACUUUUGCUUCCUGUAUCACCCGCAGUUAUUAUUUCAAUUAUUAUUGUUAUUAUUAUUAUUUUUUUUAAGAAGGAAAGAUUUUGAUAGAGAACAAGGACUUAUAUAUGAUGUUAAUUAGCUAGAUAUUUAUUUAUAUUGCUAGAUGCAGCUUUUUAUUUUUCUCCGAACUUGUGCAACUCUCUAACUGGAGCUUUCAGCAGUAAUUGAGGAUAUACAACGAAGAAGGUAUGAGAUCUUAUUGUGUCAUAGGCCCUUAAUUUGAUAUUUUUUUUACUUCCAAUGGCUAGUUUUAUGCCAAUUCUGAGCCGUUGGAUUAAAAACAUACGGAUAUUAAUGAUCAAGAACUUAAGUUCUUAUUUUUAAAACAUUUUUUAUUAAUUAAUUUUCAUUAAAUUAUUUUUGCCAUUUAUUUGUAUUAAUUUAACUUAACGUCAAUCACCUCCAAGUCAGUACUGUUGACCAUACUUUUAAAAAUAAAAUUAAUUUUCCUACCCAAGUCCCAGCAUGAGUCCAUUAUGCUCUCCUGCCAUUUCAAAUUGGUCCAUUUAAAACGUCUUUUCAAUUGUACAACCACCAAAAAAAAAAAAUUGAAAGUGGCGCUGUUCAUGCCCUUCUAUUUUAAACCCAUUUGGCCAAUUUUAAACAAAAUUUUUAUUAAAAUUUUUUGAUAAAUAUAUGAUUACUCAUAUAACUCUUUUAAACUCGACAAAUAAGCUUAUUUUGCAGAUUAUCUUUGUAUAAAUUAUUCUUAUACAAAUUAUUCUAUUCUAAUUCGAACAUUAAAAGAAUUCACAAAAUUAAUCAAAAAAUAAUAUUUUAUAUUUGUUUCCAAUUAAAACCUAAUUAAGGUGUCAUUUAUAUCUAUUGAAUAAUAAGACAGGAUAAUAAAUAAUUUAACAAAUAAUUAAAUUAAUUAUCCAAUAUGUGAGUUUAAUGAACAUUUGAAGGAAAAGGAAUUAAGAUAUUAUUUGAAAUUAUGGUUUUAUUUUAUUAGAAUAUUGAUUAAAGUUAAAAAAAAAAAAAGGUAAUCAUCUUGAAACAAUUCAAAUUUUAUCAUGAGUGGGCUUGCAUAGAAUGUUGAACUACUCUAAUCUCUAAUACUCUUUUUAAUUGUUAUUAUGGGUGGCUUUUCAAUUAUUCAUCACUUUUAUCAUAUUCCCCAUGCAACUGCCUGUCUUCACUCGCAAUGCACAACAAAUUCUUAGGUUUAUCUGGAUUCUAUUAAAUUUGUUGUUUGAUAUUUUUAUUUAAAAAUUUCUAAAGUAAUCUAAUUUCAAUGUUGGCGUUAAUAAGCCAAAAAAAAAUUAAAGUAAUUAAACGUUCACGUUCGAUCUUGCGAUCAAGCCUUGCUGUUUUAAUUGCUUAUAGCAUACUGAGAUCAAUUUCAUUAAUUGCAGAUAAAUAGCAUGGAAAUUUUAUCAGGUGUUGCAUCAAAGCUUGGAGAAUUAUUGGCGGACGCAACCAUAAACCAAGCUCGCUAUCUGUUCUGCUUCAACAGCAUUGUUAAAGAACUUGGGGAUAAAGAAACUAAUUUGAAGGAGGCACAAGAUGGCGUCAAUGAAAAAGUAGAACAAUAUCGACAAAAACACCGCGCCAUAGUAGUCGAGAAAGAUGUAGAGAAGUGGCUGGCGGAUGUAGUCAAAGAAAUGGCCAAUGUUCAAAAUUUGAAAGCAAGGAUAGAUGAAAACAAAAGUUGUCUUAAUGGAUGGUGUCCUAAUUGGCGUUGCCUAUAUUGGCUGGGUAGAAAAGCAUCAAAGGAGAUUCGCAAGUUGUCCGAUCUACAAAAGAAAUGUGACAAAUUCAGCACAGUUGCCCGUCCUAAACCUCUACCAUCAAACAAAGAAUUACCCGCACCAAGACAUUUUACGUCUUUCGAGACUACAGAACUGGCUUGCAAUCAGAUCAUUGAAUCACUGAAAAGAGAAAGCACAAAAAUGGUGGGACUGCAUGGCCUCGGUGGUGUAGGAAAGACGACCUUGGCAAAAUUUGCGGGCAAUCAACUUCGGCAACAAAAGAUUUUCGAUGACGUAGGGAUAGCCACUAUAUCUCGGGAUCCAAAUAUAAUAAAUGUUCAAAGUGAGCUGGUAAAGUCGUUAGGUUGGGCAUUAACGGAGAAAGAUGAGAAGGAUAGAGCAGACCGAUUGCGCUUGAUGUUCUCUGAGAGUAAAAGCCGCAAGAUCCUCAUAAUCCUUGACGAUGUCUGGAAUGAACUCGACUUGGAGACAGUAGGUAUUCCUGUUGGUGAUAGAGACAAUUGUUGCAAAAUCCUUCUAACCACUCGCCUUCAGCCAGUUUGUGAUCGCAUGGGUUGUGACACGCGGAUUCAACUAGGUGUUCUAAAGCGAGAAGAAGGAUUGGCUUUACUAAGAAAGCAUGCCGGCAUUGAUGCUGAUUCAUUGAUUGGUGUUUCAGAACGAGUUGCUGAUGAAUGUAAGGGGUUGCCUUUGGCUAUUAAAGCUGUUGGAAGUGCACUAAGCGGUAAAGGAUUUGGUGAAUGGAAAGUAGCUCUGCAUAAACUAAAAAAUGCAAAACUUAAUACAAUAGAAGGUAUUGGCAAGGAAGACCAAGACGCUUACCAUUGUCUCAAGUUUAGUUACGAUUAUUUGAAUGGUGAGGAUUCCAGGUCAUGCUUCUUGUUGUGUUCGCUGUUUCCAGAAGAUUAUGAGAUAGAUUUGGAGGAUUUGGUUGGAUAUGCAGUGGCGUUGGAUUGGUAUCAAGCUGAGUCAAUCGAAGAUGCCAGGAGCCUAGUGAGUGGAACGGUUAAAGAGCUCAAAGCUUCUUCACUGCUAUUAGACACUGGUAAUGACAGAUUUGUAAAAAUGCAUGACAUUGUACGUGACGUAGCCUUAUGGAUAGGCUCAAUGGAGAAAAAAUAUUUUACUAGUAAAGUUGGCAUUGGAUUGGCAGAACGGGCAGUGGAACAAUACAGAGGAAUCUCUUUGAUGGGAAAUGAAAAAGAAGAGCUUCCAAGUGGUUUGGUAUGCCCUAAUCUUCAUAUUUUGCGACUGGAGAAUACUGAAUAUGACUAUCAAUUGCAUAUUCCAGAACAUUUUUUCGAAGGAAUGCCAGCAUUGAAAGUUGUUACUAUAAUAGGAGGAGUCAUUUCACUUAAAUCGCUUCAAUUCCUCACCAACCUCCAAGUUCUGCAGUUGAUUCGAUGUAACAUGAGUGACGCGUCUUUCCUUGGAAAGUUGAAGAGACUUCAAAUCCUUUGUGUCAAGGGGUCUCCCAUUGAAAUUCCUGAAGAAUUUGGGGAUCAACUUAGUACAUUGAAACUUCUUAUAUUCAUUAAUUCUGGUCGUAUUUCUCCCAUUACGAUAAAAAAAUUUCCUCAAUUAGAAGAAUUUUAUGGUCGGAUAAAAGAUUGGGAGGCCGAAGGGAUGAGUUCAGAAGAAAAUGACGAUGGAAAGACUUUACAUACUGACAAAAAAAUUGCACGUCUUCCAAAAGACUUUACAUUCCCGAAAUUGCAAAGGCACUACGUCAGUAACGGUAACAAACUUGAAUUUCUAAUGGACGAAGAAGAUGAAAUUUUUGGACAGAGAAGGUGCUUAAAGAUUAAUAAUUGUGAAGCGACCUCGCUCGGUAUUUUUUCGGCAUUGUAUCAAGAACUGGAAAUUCUUAAUUUAAGAACGAUUAUAGGUUGUCACAAUAUUGUGCCAAGCAUAGAUCCAAAGGGCUUAAAUGAAUUGCCUUGUCUUUCUGUCAAGGAGUGCAAAGAAUUAGAAUGCAUAAUGGAUGCCUCUAAGUCGCCGUAUGGAAAGAGUGGGAAUCCUGUGAUGCUCUCAAGAUUAGCAGAGUUAUCUAUGUGGCAAUUACCAAAACUGAAGUGGAUAUGGAAGGCGCCCGCCCAACAUGUGAUCAGCCUCCAAGCUCUUACAAAAUUGAGUGUGUAUGGGUGCAACAAUUUGACAUAUAUCUUCACGUUGUCACAAGCUAGAAGUUUGAAGCAGCUUAAAAGUCUCUUUGUAAGUGGAUGCCAGAGAAUGGAAUGUAUUGUCGAAGCAAAGUUUGAUCACAAUGAAGGGGAAAUAAGUGUCGAAGAUGGAAAUACGAUGCUUGCCCUCCCUUUGUUGAGAAAAUUAACACUUUGCAAUCUCCCAAAACUCAAGAGCUUCUGUUCAGAAAAUUAUCGCUCAAUUUGGACAGCAUUGGAAGAGUUAGACCUUAUUCGCUGUUUUAACUUGACCAUCAGCAGUACUGAAAUUGAAGCCAAUUUGCAGUAUCUUGUAGAGGUAUGUUUGUUUGUGUUUACGUUUUUUCUUUUCCUUCAAUUUUACUCAAAAUGAUAAUUUAGCAAUUAAUUUUAUGAUCAACCAUUAAUUAUUUGGUCCUAUGGAGAUGAUGAUGAUCGUGGAUGUGGUGAUGAUAAUAAUAAUGCUCAAAUAUCUUAGGGAAAUUUCUUUAUUUUAGGGCCUAAAAUCAUUGUUCAAAUGGAAGUCUUAUCUCAUUUUGGUUUAGAAAGAAUUGAUGCAAACACUUACUAAAGUGUAUAUAAUAUUACUCAAAUUCAAUUAAUUAGUUGAUCAAUCCAUAAAAAUUAAUAAAAUACUAAUUUUUCUCAAACAAUCUAAUGUCACCUUUAUAUCACUUCACAUUAUGAAUCCAUAUUACUUUUUAAUUAUUUUAUUAGUUUACUUAUGUAUUAUUAGAUUUUUGUAUGGAUUUUGUUUCUAUUUUUGUUUUUUGCGGUGUUCGUCACUUAUCAUGUGAUAAUCCUAGCUGCUAAUAGAUUUUAAUUACAUCAAGUUAUUUAUUUAUUUGUCUCAGAACUUAAAAAUUCUAAAUGUGGACAAUUGUUCCCAUUUGAGCGACACGAUUCCAGUACUGUUGAAGCACGGCUUAAAAAAUUUGGAAGAAUUGAAUAUUAGCAAAAUUGGAAUACUGGUGGUGUUUCAGUCGGAAGCUAUUAUCGCUGAGGGACAAGCAAACAAACCAUUCCCAUGUUUGAAAGGGCUGGGAUUGGAAGAUCUUCGAGAACUGCGAGUAUUAUAUCAUGAAGGUCCCGCGCAUAAUUUUAGCCUGCAAAAUCUUACCCGAUUAACAGUAGAUCGGUGCACUAUGCUGAGACGGCUCCUCUCAUCAACACUUGCUCGAAAUCUGUUGCAAUUGGAGGAGUUAUCUGUUUCGAAUUGCUUGGAAUUAGAGCAAAUCAUUGAUGAGGAUGAGGAUGAAGAUCAUCUCCAACCUGUAUGUUUCCCAAAACUCACAAGGAUCACUGUCUGUUUUUGCCCUAAGCUAAAGCAUCUAUUUCAUAUCAGCGUAGCUCCAAGUCUUCCAAAACUGAACUACCUAUUCGUAGUAGGUAAUGAUGAAUUAGAAGAAGUAUUCUGGCAUAAAGGUGGAGCAGACGUCACGGAUUACAAUGAAAUUGUUACGAAUGAACUUCAGGGCAUAGAACUGAUAAAUUUACCAAACCUCACCGACUUUUGGCCUGCGGGUUAUCCAAACCCAGUUCCACCUGGACGCUUUCUUGGUUGUCCCAAGCUUCGCGCAAAUUCAGAAGGAGAUUGAUGAUUCCGAGAAUUCUGGAGCAGAGGUAAGCUCUUGAGAACUUUAAUUAAUUGACUCUAUAUAUAGUUGGUUCAUGUUUUCGUUUGUGGUAGCUGAUUGAUUCAUCCUAAAAUCCAGACACCCUACUUACAUAAAAAUACAUAUUGACAUUAAUUUCACAGAUGAGCCACGGAAUUCUACCAAAAUUUUCCUUCUCAUAUAUAUAUAUAUUUUAAAUGUUUGCUUUUCUUCUUCUUAUAAUUUUCUCUGUUUGCUUUUUUAAUUUUACUUAUCAUUCAUAGUUAAUGCCCAAGAAGCUAACAAGCUUUGUUCUAUACUUGUUUUCUUGGUGGAUACUUAAUAUUAUUGCGUGCUUAAAUGUUGAAGACUAAAGUUUCAAGGCUUGUUCAACUUUAAAAUUUACCUGUUCCUUUUGCGUUCACUGUUUCUUCAAUUGUUAAAACUUUGGCAAAUUUGGAGGCUAAAUUGAUGGCCUUUUCGAUGGGCACUAAUUGGGCCAAUUUAGUAAUAGCACGCAUUUUGUAUUGAGGAACUUGAAAAUGUUCCACCUUUCUAGACGGCGAAGAAAGUGUGUAAUGUCGUGACAGCAAUACUUUUUAUUUUUUAUGUGAUAGUAUUGGUUAUUUUUGGAUUUUGCGAAAGUGAGAUUUUUGUUAGCCACCCGUUCUUUUUGGCUUGUGGAAUGUGCAUUUGAAAGAGCAUUUUAUAAGAUGAUUUUACUCAAUUAUGUUUUUUAAAAAGAUAUUUAAUUUCCUUCAUUUUUCUUAAAGCAUUUCAAAUAUUUUUGGUUUCACAAAGCAUUCAAUUAUUUUUCUUUGUUAAAAAAAAUUUUUUGUUGCUUCAUUAAAGUUUAAAUUAUCGCCAAUCCACCUUUAAAUUGUUCUAUUAUUAAAAGUACUACAAUACUUUAAAAUUAUAUCGUUCAUGCACCUUAAUUUUACAAUAUAUAUCAUUCAUCCAUUAUAUCGCUUGCUUCCAUUAAAAAAGUAAUAGAAUUAUAAUAAAUUGACCAUUAUGUCUUUGAAACUCAAUUUAAUGUUAAAAAAAUAGGAAAAUUAUUAACCAUAUACCCUAAGUUUGCCCUAAAUGAUUUGAAAAUUUAAAUUUAUUUGAUUUCUAUUUUAAGUUAGUAACUUCUAUCAACUAAUGUAAAAAGACAUAGGAAAAUUAUUAAUCAUAUAUCCUAAAUUUGCCCUAAAUAGUUUGAAAUUUUGAAUUUAUUUGAUUUUCUAUUUUAAGUUUGUAACUUAUAUUAACCGUUCACCAAAAUGUUAACAUUGUUAGAAUAAUUUAUAGAAUUUAAAUAAAAUGCUAUUUUACCCUUGGAUUUAAGGACAUUUUUUACUUUGCACCAUAACUAAUAUAAUAAAUUUAGCUUUUUUAAUUAUGAAAUCGAAUUAAACUAUUAGAUUGAUUGGGCAUUUAUGAAUUAGGGUUUAGGGUAAUUUGUGGAUUUAGUUUAUUAAUGUAAAUUUAUGAAGAUAAAUUGAGAAAAUAAAUUAGAAUAUUUUUAAUUAAGAAAAAAUAGAGUUUAUGUUUAUUUAAUUGAAUAUCAAUUAUAAAAAGUAUUUUUUUUAAUGUUUUAAGCCAUUAUUUUAUUUUUUAUUUUGCAUAUUGAGUGUCUAAAUUAUCCUUAUGAAGUCAUUAAUUACAAACUGCAAUUAACAUCUUGGAGGUCAUAAACUUAGAUUGGAAAAUUGAACAAAUUUAAAAUUUUGUAGCAAUUUUGAUAACAUGGUAAGCUUAGAUAAUUUCUCUUUUAUUUUUUUGUGUUAAAUGUCUAAAUUACCCUUGUGACGUCUAUCACUUUUUGACGAAGUUAAUGAUUUGGUGGAUAAAUGAUGAUUGUAAAUUUAUGGUAGAUGAAUGAUCCAACCUAAAAAUGUUGUAAUAUUUUUUUUAUAAUAGCGCAAUUUAAGGGCGGACAUUUGAUAAUUUCCUAAGUUUAUAAGUUAAAUAAAAAUAGUUUUUAACCUUUCUGAUACAUUUUUGUACCAAUAAUGACAUAGGGCUUGAACUUAUUUGAAAUCAUAGCGGACCGGUGCUUUUUUUUUGGGCUUUAAAUAGCUCUACAAAUAAACACAAUAAUAAACGUUAUGUUUGGCACAUAUAUUCUUUUCUCUGAAUUUGCUCAUCAAUUUACAAAGUUAUUGCACAAAUUACUUGUCUCAAAUAUAUCUCUUGAAGGAAAUUUUGGAACUUUUGUUAAUGUUAUAUUUUGGGAUAAAUGACAAAACAUAAGCAUAAAGAUUAAUAAAAGUUAUAGGUAAAAUAUCACAUAUCAACAAACAAAAAAGGUUACCAGGCUAAUAAUAAUAUUAGCUUGAGGCAAUCCUCCAAUCUUGAGAUAACCUUUAAGUAUAAUUUUGGGUCAUAGGCUUCUAUAUAGUAUCGGAGACAAAUUUAUGCACAAGUGGAUUCAUAUUACCUUACCACAUGUAAGGACCAAGCAAAAAAAUCGGCUUGCACGUGAUAGAUGGUGAUAGGAAAAUUAUCCCACAUCGACUGGAAUAGUUACUAGAUUAAUAGUUUAGCUUGGGGCAACUUAUUAUGCAGUUGUUUGAACUUGUAUCGUGGAUGAUAUCAAUUCGUGACUUUGUGCGCCACUUAUGUCUUUCUGAUUAAACCUAAAUCUUAUAAUUCAAUAUUUAUUAUAAUCAGCUUAGUUUUAUCACUUCAUGUAUCUAUUUUGUACCCCUAUUUUGCAAUUCAAAUGUUAUAUUAAACAAUAUAAACUAUAAAAAAAAGUCAUUUACGUUCAUGUCAACAAAAUGCACGUGAAAUCACAAUUCCUUCACUUCCUACCAUUAGCCUAAAUUUUUUGGUUCACUGUAGAAGAACGCGUAUUAUUUUUAGAACGUAUCAAUAUUAUUUUUUUCUUGCAUGUCCAUGUUUUGUGACCAAGAUGUCGUUAUAGCGAACAAGUUGUUAAGCAAGCCUAGAACACUCCUCAAACUAGCGAAGCAAGAACACUUGCAGAAAAUACUAGAGAGAAGUGUUGCAAUAUGGCUGAAUAUGAUUUUAUUACUCACAAAGAGAAAAUAUACAAGAAAGCUUUUUACAAAAGCUAGAGAGCUUGUAUGUGUGCUAGAGUGUUUGUGUGUGUGGUGUGGUUGGUGGGCAAAUGAGAGGGUAUAGGUAUUAGAGUUCUAGGGGAAGAAACUUCCUAGCAACUUCCAUAAAUAUCCUGGGGACCUAUGUGGAGAAACUUAGGAACUUUUAGCUUAUUUACAAUUUGUAGAUAGUUCUAGAUCUUGGGCCGGGCUUGGGUGAUUUGCUAAGCACACUACGGUUGGCUGGUUGUGUUGGCAGCCCAUUUCUAAGCAUCCCACUUCUAAGCGCACUCUAUGUCUAGGCGCACUUCUAACAAUUGCCUUGGGUCCAACUCCAUUAACUGUAGAACAUGAUUCAGUAAAUAUUAUUAGUCUGAUCGAUGCAAGUUUGUCUAACAGGAAAGAGACUAGUUGGCUGGUUCCAGAGGUCAAGGGACUUACAAUUAAUAGAGGUUUCAUUUUGCAUAGUUAAACAUGCACCUAGAUCUUGUAAUGUGGUGCUCAAAAUUUAGCCAAGCUGGCUUUUUCUUUAUCAUAGGGGUACAUUUGAAUCGAAGAUUGUCCUUGUUGAAAUUGCCAGGAUCUAUUAUUAAUAUUUCGUUUUGACAAUAUUUAACCAAUACUUUCUUCAAAAUUACAAAAAAAAAAAAAAUGUAUGUAUAGGCACAAAAGUGAACAAAAAAAGGCAUCUUCUCGGCUCCCAAAGGUUUUGUUUACCUUCCUCUUCAUAGGAUUCCUGUGAUUUUCUCUUCAUUUCAUUAAUUUUUUUCACAGUUUUAUACCAUUUUUAUUUAUUUACCUUCGUUUUUUAACUGGGCAUGUUUUUGUUUGAUUCUAGUUUAUCGAUCGUCCUUAUUCUUUCAUUCUAAUACGUUAGAGUUCGUAUGGAUUUCAAAAUUCUACGUUUAAUUAUGGUUUUGACUUGUUACUUGAUUACUGUUACUGGGUAUGCGCUUGUUUACAAUUUAGGUUCUGUCUUAUUGUGGUUCAUUAUUAUUUUGAGACUUUGUUUCGAUUGACUGUUAUAUAUGUCUAAUUAUUUUCAAUGUUUAGACCUCAAUUUUCAGAGAUUUUGAUGUGGUUGUGUCUGAUUAUGGGUUUCACAUUUUAGUCUAGUUCUUGACACUAGUGGUUUUUGAGUUAUUAACAUUAUUUCAUUUUCCUUGUUUGAUACAUUGUUGUUUUCUAUGUGGAUAAUAAUAAGAGUAUUGGUGCUGGUAUAUUUAAUUAAUUUGUUCUAUGUUGUUGUUUUACGCCUUAACUUCAGAAAGUUGUUUGGUAUAUAUACAACUAGUUACUUGUUGUUUUAUGUGCUCGAUUAUUGAAUUAUAAUUUUAAUCACAUUAGUUUUGAUUAUCAUCUGUUAAAUAUGCCUCAUCAGCUUCAAUUAUCUAUGUCUUCACAAGCUGCAGGCAUUUGUUCUUAGAUAUAAGUUGAGAGGCUGAUGGACGUAUAUUUGAGCUUUUCAAGUCAGCUUCUUUUUAUGAAUUUGUGAUUUUCAAUCGCGGUGUGUUUGUAUUCUGCUUGAAGAUGAGAUUUCUUAGAUUUUGAUUCCCUUUAAUUAUUAACUUAAUUAGUGGACUGUGUGGGAACAUAAUCUUGCAGCAUAGCUUUUGAGCAGAGGGAGACUAUUGUCUACAGUGAUCAAACUUAAAUUAUAGGAGCUUGUUACGGUACUGACUCGGUAUAUAACACAGCAAAUGGGGCGCUUCCACGCAUUGCAUGAGGAAAAGCAACCCAAACUCAGCUGAUGCAAGGCCAAUGUGGACUCAGCUGUUAGUUACAGAAUCUGCAACUUGGCUGAGUCCUAAAUAUAAUGUUCUCUAAGUUUCUGAUGUCUUUUAAUUUUAAUGGAUUUGUGAUCAAAAUUGACUUUUAUGAUAACUUUGUAUCUCAACUAGUUUAUGUGUUUUUGCUUGGUUGAUAUCAUUUCUUGACUACUUUAGACCAUUAGGGGGAGAUUAUGUCAUAUUUUAUUGCUUUCCUGAAAUAAAUUUUUCCUUAUAGUGGUACUUCUAUCAAAUCAUGAUGUGCCUUAUUUAGGAACUUCAAUCUUCUUUCCCUCUUAGAUUGGCACAAAGCAGUGGCAAUAUUAUGAGUUUGGUCCAUAAGUAGUUCCUGAACUUAUUUGUCUUCCUAGAAUGGCAGGGCCAAUAGAAGUCUAUUACAGGUAGAUCAUCAGCUUCUGCAGUUCAUUGACACAUAAAGACCUCUAGCUGUAGUGAUGUUUCAGCGAUUUCAUAACUUAUACAAUAGAACAAAGUUUAUAAGAUUAGAAACUCAAAACCCAUUUGUCUUAUUGUUUAGAAGUUCUCAUUUAAAGCCUGAUUCGCAAAACCAGUCAUCAACUUUAGAACCAAAAACUGUCCAACACAAUGUGGGAAAUUUUUGGUAUUUGGAUAACAAAAUCCAAAUUCAAUACCCCGUUUUGAAGCAGCAAUUAAACUGAAAAAAAUCAAGAUCUUCAUUCGGGAUUGUUAAAUACAUGGUGGCAGAUGCUAAUAGCCACGGGUUUAGUUAUAUGCCUCAAGUUGUAAGAGAGCAAAGAAAGAAAGAGAAUUGUUUAACCAAUUAGAAAUCAAGGGUGUAAUUAGGCCUGCUAAGCCGUAUGUAUUGGUGACUGUGGAAGGAGAUUUUAUAAUAAUGACAAGCUUGUUAAUCAUUCUAAGCAAAUUCAUGAGGGCGAAUAAAAGAAAAGGUCGAAUCAAAUAAAAUCAUCUAGAGGGAAGGUGAGAGUGCUUUUGGUUGGCAACUAUUCAAUAAAGAUGGAAAAAUAUAAAAUGGCUGCAAGCGCAAUUUUGACUCCAAAAGUGGGUUAUGGUUUUGCAGAUAAGUUAAAAAGAGCAUGGUUUUGGGUCAGGAUGGUGUUAGAUAAGCCACAAGAUGACAAGGUGGACAAAAGAAGGUUUGGGUGUUUAGUGGUUGUGUCGGAUGAUUCGGAUUUUGUGGAGGUCUUUCAAGAGGCAACGUUGAGGUGUCUGAAGAGGGUUGUUGAAGGGGAUAUGAGUGAUGGGGUGUUGAAGAGAAUUGCUAAUGCUUUUUUUUCUUGGAGCGAUUUAUUAAUGGGAAAGUAAUUAGGAAGGAAGUCGUAUCAGUUGUGAUGGAAGGACUAGGAUGUUUUGAAGAGAUUGGACUUAUAAUCCAAAUGUGGAGAAAAAGCACUUGAUUGGGAUGAUGUAAGUGAGGAUCCAGACAUUAAUGAUAUAACUCAUGCCCAGCGAUGUAGAUUGUAUUCAGAAGAGAGAUAACAAUGCUUGGUGGGAGUUGGAAUCUUCUGAUGCAGAAGCCACUUCAUAACAAUUGGGCUAACAGCAAUACAUAUUCUGUGACUAGGUAAAGUUCCAUUUCAUUUUCUUGCUAGCAUUUUUGGAAAGUUUCUAAUACAUGAAAGCAUGAAAUAAUUGUUCCUUGUUGCAAAUAAUGUUUUAAGCAUUAUUUAUAUGGCUUCCUUUUUUUAAAAGGAAAAAAAAAGUUGUUGCUGAGAAUCAAAAAGAUUGUAUUUGGCUUAUGGUAUCUUACAUAAAAUGUGUCAAAGAUUUCCAAAAAUAAAUCUCGCAAUUUAAAAAAAAACAAGGAAAUUCAAUAGAAAGUAUAGACAUUGAUAGGAUAGUAGAAGUCAACCUUUGCAGCUCCGGCAUAUUGGUAUCCUGAACCAUAUAUUCCUUUUGUUUUUUUGUUUUUUUACCCUGAAUUAUCAGUCUGCCUUUGAAAAAAUCUUUGAUAUGUGCUAGAAGAUGUAAUAUUUUGACUUGAUUUUCUUGAAUGAGAAGGUUCGAAUCUCAAACCUUUUGUUUUCAACACGAGAUUUUAUUAUCUCAACUAGGAUAGUUAAUUAAAUUUUUGUGUUAAAUUUGUUGCCAUCAACGUCAUGCCUUUGAAGCAGCACUCAAUCUUUUAUACUUAAUGAGAUAGAUCUCCUGUAUUAAAUAGUUAAUUCCAAUAAUUUUGUGAAACUAUUUAUCACUCCAUCCUACUAUAAAUAUUUAAUCAAUUGCGUGAGGAUCUACUAUAUAUAUUUCAAGUGUCGUUUACACUAAUUUCCAUCGCAUAUGUUUGGACAGAAAGGGGACCAUAAAGUUGUUCUUGGAAUCUUUAUUUUCGUUGCGUGGCAAGUGUGCUAACAUUUUCAUGUGACAGUCAAUUUUGUCUUAAAGGACUAUCAACAAUUAAUGGGGAUAUAUAUACAAAUUACACACUCAUAUAUCUCCCCACUAAUCUCCCUCUGUGUGUGUGUGUGUUUCUCUUUGGAAGAGCAUUCUGUUAAAAUGAUUAUUGUGGAAUUGUAUUUGGAACUGUUAAAAUGAUUUUACUCAAUCGUAUUUUUUAAGAAGAUAUUUAAAUGCCUUUUUUUUUUCUUCUUUUUCCACACACAUUUCAAUUGUUUUUCGUUUAAAAAUUUUUGUAGUUGCUUCAUUAAUUUUUAUAAAUUACAUAAAAAUAGUUUUAACCAUUUUACUUUAUUUUUAUCCCAAUAAUGACAUAUGGCUUGAAAUUAUCUGGAAUCGUAAUGAAUCGAAAUGCCUUUUUUUGGCUUUAAAAGAGAUCCACAAAAUAAAUGCAAUAACAAACCUCACACUUGCCAUAUGUAUUAUUUACUCCAAACUUACUCAUCAAAACAAUAAUAUUAUCGGAAAAAUUAUUUGCAAUAUCACUUAAAUGCAACCAUAAGUCAUAAAUGAGAUAAGUCAAUAAAUUCUCAAAAGAAUAUUUCAUCCAUCACAAUUUUUUUAUUCAAAAGUUAUCCCAAAUAAUAUGACACUCAUCAAUUAAUUAGUGAGAUAAUACAAUUAAUUCAUUUUAAUCUUAUAAAAAAUUAACAAUCACUUAAUGAAUUGCAUAUCAUUUAAAAUGAAAAUUGAAAUACCUAUUAUUAUACAUUUGGCUAUUCACCUGAGUUCAAAUCUUAGGGCCAGGACAUAAGGGAUAAAAAUUGAAUUUAGAUUUUACCCACUUCAUUACCUUUAAAAAAAUUUAAAAAAAAUAAAUGAUAUUUUAAAAAACAAAAAAAAAAUAAAACUUUUUAAAAAAAAAUACAAAAUGAGCAUAUUAAACGACAUUUAUGGCUUAAUUGAAGUGAAACGUACUUUUGACAUAUAAAAUUCUAUGACUCCAGGCGGCGCCUUACCUAGUCUUGGUCAAAUUAUUAAAUGUAAAUAAAUUUGUAGAAAGUAUGACCGAACUAAUUAAUGCGGCAUGACCAAAAUCUUUGACCUCCAUGAAAUUAGGGUUGAUCAUAAUUGUUGUUACAUUUUAAUAUAAUAAUUAGGGAAAAGCUAAGCUACGGAUACCAACAUCUUAAAACUUAUAAACAAAAGAGUUGAACUAUUGCACCCCUCAUGAAACUCUUUUUUUUUUAAUUAUAUUUAUUUUAUUUUUCAAAAAUAUCCUUUUUUAAAUACACUUCUAAUUUUUCAUUUAAUUUUUUAUUGUUUAAACGCAAAAUAGUGCUAUGCUAUUUUUCAUUUCUUUUGUAAUUUUAUUAUUACCCUACGCACAAAUUAAAAACUUUUAUGAGAGAUAAAUUUUUGAAUGUUAAUCAUUGGCUUAAAUUAUAUAUAUUUUAUCUUAUAAUUUUAAAGCUAUCUUAAGCACACAAAUAUUUAAUCAAUAAGAAAUUUAAAAAGAAUAAUAGAUUAUUCUAAAUUUGUACAAUUUAUUUUAGUUAGAUACAAAGCAACCUGUAGAAAAUUAGAAGAAAAAAAAUUAUGAAUGUGAGUAAUUUGUUUGAAAAAAAAAAAACUAUGUUAUUUAAUUCUGUUGUCUUUAAGUGUAAUUUUAUUUGAAGUAGGAUUUUAUAAGGAUAAUCAAAGGGUGCCAAUAACUUCACUCGAAACAAAAAAUUACCAUCAUAUGAAAAUAAAUGAUGAAAAUCACAUCAAAGGAGGGAAAUUAAUUUUUUACCCAACUAAUGAUAUAUAUAAAUAGUGAUGAAUUAUAUUAUUGGAAUUUAGACUCAUUUCCUCCCAAAGAAUUCUAAAUUUAAACCCAAUUCUCUUAUACAAAAAUUUCUUCUUCUAACUUUUCUUAACAAUUAAAACAUUAACUUUGACUUCAGGUGUUUAUAAUGGGUCCAGCUAUGUUGCAACAGUAGGACAGUACCAUUGUUGCUUUCAACCAUUGGAUCUUGUUAAUGUAACUGUACAACUAUACAUCCAAUGGCUGGUUGCAACAGUAGUACCAUACCACUGUUGCAACAUAGUUUUGCAUGUUUAUAAUAAAUACACCACUUAAGCCGUCUCUACCAAACUCAGAAAAUUCGAAAGGAGAGAAAGUUAAUUAGAAGAUUGACGGUUUUGUCACCUCCAAUCUUUUUUAUUAAAGUUUUAUAACAUGUGUAUGUACUUUUCCUUAUUGAUUGGGAAAUACAAACUGAAAACACACAACACAUAACAAUAUUCUGGGAGCUUCCGUCUUGCUUUUUUCUUCUAAUAAUUGGUUUUAACUUUCUUAGUUUUGGAUUGCAAUAUUUCUAGCAAAUUAGAAUCAUCAAAUUUGUUAUGGUUCUUAAUUUCUUCUUCUUAGAAUAUCACUUAUAAGUUUUGCUUUCGGAAUAGGAGAAUACAAACUAAGUUUAAUUCCAAUUCUGAUAGAGCAAUGCAUUGGAACAUGCAUCAAUUUUCAUGUCCCACAAGUAAAAAAAAUCUAAAGUAUCUUUGUCACAUUGUUGAUUUUGAUCCAUCUCUUUAUUUGGAAACUACUUUUAGAAUCUCCAAAUAAAAUCGACGACAUGAAAGUUCUACCUAAUUAACCCUUGGAAAAAAAUUGACAGCUGAAGCUUCCCAAUUAGAUUUUGUGGUGACACAACAGUAUCACCUAUAAGUAAUUGAAUCAUAUGCACAAACACAGGAUCAGAUUCCCUCACAAUUCCAGAAAAAAACCUAGAACAAGUUCGCCUCUACUUAAAGUACCCUUCGCCACUGUCUCCCUCCACACACCUCCUCUGUUUUUUCUUUGAGCAAGGCAACCCAAAAAAUAAAAUAAAAUAGAAUAAAUUCAGCCAUUAAUGGCAGCCACAACACAGGCACCGCCAAUAUCUACCCUCUCUCAAACCCAUCUCCCUCUGCUAACCCUAAGCCGUCGCAAAAAACCCAUGUUUCUCUUUUCUCCAAAACCCUGCAAAAAAACCCUUUUUUUCCUCAGAAACAACAAUCUUUAAUCCACAAAAAUAACUUCACUGUUCUAUCAAAAAAACCCCAUCUCUGAGUUUUUCACCACAAAUAAAGAAUACCCAGAUGACGGUUUUGGCAGUUUUGAUGAUGAUGACGACGAUAAGCCCCGUGAGGAGUGUGGUGUUGUGGGCAUCUAUGGUGACCCAGAGGCCUCCCGUUUGUGCUAUUUGGUGCUACACGCGAUGCAGCAUCGCGGCCAAGAAGGUGCAGGUAUAGUUGCUGUGAAUAACAAAGUUCUUCAGUCUAUUACUGGUGUUGGUUUAGUCUCUGAUGUGUUUAAUCAGUCUAAACUUGAUCAAUUGCCGGGUGAUAUGGCCAUUGGUCAUGUUAGAUAUUCGACUGCGGGUAGUUCUAUGCUUAAGAAUGUGCAGCCUUUUGUUGCUGGGUACAGGUUUGGUUCUGUUGGUGUUGCACAUUAGUUAAUUAUAAUACUUUGAGGGCUAAGCUUGAAGAUAAUGGGUCCAUUUUUAAUACUAGUUCUGAUACUGUGGUUGUUCUCCAUUUGAUUCCGAUAUCGAAAGCUAGGCCGUUCUUUUUGAGGAUUGUGGAUGUUUGUGAGAAGCUUGAGGGUGCUUAUUCAAUGGUGUUUGUUACUGAGGAUAAGCUUGUUGCGGUCCGUGACCCGUAUGGGUUUAUGCCGUUGGUGAUGGGUAGGAGGAGUAAUGGUGCUCUGGUUUUUGCGUCAGAGACUUGUGCACUAUUUGAUUGAGGCCACAUACGAGAGAGAGAGAGAGGUAUAUCCCGGUGAAGUUUUGAUGGUGGAUAAAGAUGGGGUUCAAUCACUUUGUUUGAUGCCUCACCCUGAACCUAAGCAGUGCAUCUUUGAGCAUAUUUAUUUUGCUUUGCCCAAUUCUGUUGUUUUUGGUAGGUCUGUUUAUGAGUCGAGGUAUCAUUUUGGGGAAGUACUUGCUACCGAGGCUCCUGUUGAGUGUGAUGUCGUGAUUGCAGUACCAGAUUCUGGAGUGGUGGCUGCACUUGAGUACGCUGCGAAAGCCGGGGUGCCAUUUCAACAAGGGUUGUUAAGGUCACAUUAUGUUGGGAGAACUUUCAUUGUGCCUUCCCAGAAAAUUAGGGACUUUGGUGUCAAGCUUAAGCUCUCUCGAGUCUCUCCUGUAAGGUUGUGGUUGGAGGGAAAGAGAGUUGUGGUUGUGGAUGAUUCGAUAGUGUGAGAAAGAACUUCAUCAAAAAUUGUUAGGUUGCUUAAGGAGGCUGGAGCUAAUGAGGUUCACAUGAGAAUUGCAAGCCCACCAAUCAUAGCUUCUUGUUACUACGGAGUAGACACUCCAAGUACUGAGGAGUUGAUUUCCAACAGGAUCAGCGUUGAGGAAAUCAGGGAGUUUGUUGGGUGUGAUUCGCAUGCUUUUCUGCCGAUUGACAGCUUGAACAAGUUGUUAGGCGAUGAUUCUCAGAAUUUUUUUUUUAGCUUGCUUCUCUGGAAAGUACCCUGUUAAGCCCAAGGAGAUGAAGGUGAAACGGGUUGGUGAUUUUGUGGAUGAUGGGUUGAAUGGAAGCAUUCAAUCCAUUGAUGGCGGAUGGGUUAAAGGACUUCGAAAUCAGGACAAAGUUGAAGAUGUUAUUGCUUCCAAUACCUCAAAGUUACCACUUUGAUGCCACCUUUUGAGAUCAAACCACCACUAUUUUUAUUAUUAUUAUUAUUAUUUCUUUUGCUUUCCUGGAUGAACUAGGCUCCAAACUCUGAAGAUUAAACAAUUUUGUCUGACUCUUUAAUGUUUUCCAAAGUUUUAAUCUUAUAAGCUUGUGUUUGCCUUUCUUUGGGGAUAGAUUAUGGAAUUAACUUACUGUACUGUGACAUAAAAAUUCUUUAAAUUGAAGUGCUGUGUUUUAGCUUGUUUGGGGAAACUCUUCUGCUUCAUUCGUAACGGUAAUAUAAUUACGGCUCACGUCUGCAGAAAUAUUUUCAUCAAUUUUCAUUAACUAAAGAUGUAAUGAUUAAUACCUCCUGUAUUAUUUAAUUUCUUAUUUUCUUUGAUGCCCUUUUCAUCAAAUUUCAUUAACUAAAUAUCCGGACUUGGAACUUUUACCCGUAUGCAAAAUCAAUUGUGAUACACAGUUAUUAUCACUGCGAGUAUGAAGUGGUAAAUAUAAUUAGGGAUGACAGUGGACAGGGUUUUAAUUUAAGAUUUGUUAAACGGUCUAAACCUAUUAAUUUUAAAAAAUAAAGGGAAAUCUCAAUCGGCUAUAAAAAAAAUAAUAAGGAAAAUGCAUAAAACUUUCAAUUUAUUGUUUUUAAUUUGUAUCACUCGUGUACUACGCCAUUGACAUUUGACAGCUUUAUAAUAUUAAACGGAAUUUUAGUAAAAUGAGUAUUUUAUCCUUAAAUUUUAAGGUUAUUUUUUUAUUUUGUACCAUAAAGCAAUAAAAUGAAAGGGAAGGAAAAGAGAUAUAGAACAAAAAUAAAUAAGAGAACAAAUUGACCAAAUUAAAAGUUUUUUGUGUGUAUAUAUUUAUAGUAGAAAUCUUUUGAUAGAUGGUUGAUAGUUUUUUAAAUCUCAUAAAUUAUUUACUACGAGCAAUAUAAAUGUGUACAAAACUUAUAAAUCCAACAUAAUAUUUAAAGCAAAAAAAACGCAAUAAUCAAAUAAUGUAUCAAACCAAUCAGUCUAAAACAUAAACUUUCGAAGCAUGGAAUGUACUAGUCCAUGAAAACGCCGCGUUUUAUGUUUAAUGCGUCUUGGUCAAGUGCCUGAAGUGAAAGCAUAUUUCUGAAUAAUACAUAACAUGCUCUGAAAAUUAAAUGCGGAAGUUUUAGGGUACGUUUGGGAUUGAGGUGCUGUAGCUUUUAAGUUACAGCUGCUGUGAAAAAAAAGAAGCUGUAAUUAUGAAAUAAAAGUUAAUAAUAUAUAGUAAAUAUAAAUUUCAAAUAAUAAUUUUGAUAAAAUUAUUAAAGAUACAAUAAAUUUUAUAUUAUACAAGUGAAAAAUCAUAUCAACAUAGCUUAAAAGCUACAGCAGCUAGUGUUUACCAAACACUUUAGUGCUGUAGCUUUUAAGCUACAGCUGUCCAAUCUCAAUCCCAAAUGCACCCUUAGAACCUAACCUCCAGUCAUUGAUGUGUUUUGCAAUUGUUUGCUUUCCGAUUUUGAUACUUCUAUAGCUUCGGUAAUUAUUAAUAAUAGUGCAAUUUUUUGUUUUUUUUUUUUAUUACAAGCUGCCAGGAACCAAAACCAUUUCACCAUCUCCUUGUAUUAUCAUCUUUCCAUCAAAGAUGAAGUGAUGGUGUUUUACUCGCACCAUGCCGAUUAAAGAUGUUUUUGUUAGUACUCAUAUUAUGAUUGUGAUAAGACAUUAAACACCGUAUCAAAUUUUCCAUGUUAGAAAAUAAUGAUUUUUCCCCAUAUAAUCUUUAGAAAUUAGAAAAAAUUUCUUUAAGACUUAGAAUGAGUAGCCUCUGAGAAUUAAGUCCGUUUACUUUGCGUGAGUUUGACUAUUGAUCUUGACAAUUUCCCAUUCAUCAGAGAAAACCAUUCACUUUAUUUGAACCAUUAAUGGAGAAAUAUGCCAUACUGCUUGCUUGGGAUAGAGUUCAUCUUCUUGCUUCACUUUGGGCUUCCGUUUCUAAGGAGUUUCAAGAUUCAUCUUUUUUCUUCAUUAAUCUAAACUGGGAUGGGGUUUUGAGAUAGGGAUUUGUAGCUGAUUCUAGCCUUUUAUAGGGGUGAGAUUGGGUGUGCCUUUUUAUAGCACAAAUAUUCAGUUUUUUGUUUUCUUAGUGAACAGCUGGUCCACUAUCUGUUUUAAAAUUUUCAUCAUUAAUACAUUUUUGAGUUUCUUAUAAAAAGAUUAUGCCUUCUUACUUUUGUGGUUUUGUUUACAGGUUCACCAGCAACCAUGUCAUAAUGUUUAUAUCAGAACAAUUAUAACCUGCUCGACUACUACUCCAAGGUCCAUUGUUCCAAUGACCACCAUUAUUCUAAUUACCCCUUCCUUGCCCUGAAAAACCUCUACCAAAGCCACCUCUUCCUCCAUUGUUACCACACCAAUUAGCAUUUCUAUUCCAGUUACCUUGGUUGCCCUGAUAGUAAUUAGCUUGAUUACUAGACUUCUUAUUGUUAUUACUAGGUCCAGCCUAAGCUAUGUUAGCAGCAUAAUUCAACUUUGCUUCUUUAUUUGCACUCGGAUGAUUAAAUUUAAUUCUUGCUUCAUGAGUUGAAAGCAUAGAAUAGGCUUCAUUGGCAAAUAUUUUCAUCAUAUUAGCUUCAAUAUACACAACAACAGGGUAGUAUGGCUGGCCUAAUCUAGAGAUUAGAUGAGUAACAAAGUCUAGAGUAGAAACAGGGCUACUAGUUAGAGCAAGUUUAUUAUUUACAGCUCUAAGUUUGGCAAAAUACUCAGUUAUUGUCAUUGAUCCCUUUCUGAGAUUGCUUAACAUCAUUUUUAAGUGUGCUUUCUUAGCCAUAGUUUCUAAUCCAAAAAUUUUCUUCAAGAUUAGUCCAAAGUUUAUGAGAAGAAUCAGAAAUUACCACAAGACUAAGUAUCUCAACACUGAUGGAGGACAUGAGCCAAAUUAAUAACAAUUGAUCCUACCUUUUCCAAGCAACAAAGGCUGGAUUCUCCUGAGAUCUAUCAGCUGAGCUUUCACCAACAGCAUUUUCAACACCAUAACUUUCAAUCUCUUGAGUAAGUAACUAAUCUGGACAAAUUUUAGUUCCAUUAAGAAAGCCUUCAAGUCCAUUGGCACGCACUGAAGAGAGGAUCUGAGAUUUCCAUGUCGUAUAGUUAGAUCUGUCCAGUUUGAUCGGAUUUGUGAAGGUAAAGGAUGAAGGAGACUGAUUUGUUUUGAAUUUGUGCUUAAGGAAGCCACGACAAUUAAACUGCAAAUCUGAUACCAAGUCAAGAACUGAGAAUAUUGUGUUUGGAUGCAGAGAAAAUGUGAGAGAAACAGAGAGAAAAUGAAGAAUGAUGACUCUUACUAUUGUAUUUGUUGAUUACAAGUAUUUAUAUUGAGAUCUAAAGAAUAUUAGAAAGUUGUAUACACAAUCUACAUGACCUGAAUCUAAGUAUUACAUACAAUACACGUGAGCUGAAUCUAAGCAUUCGUAACAACUUUAACUAACUUGCUAACUCAGCUUUACACGUUUGCAUUUCUAGCAGAUUUAACCAACUCACACGUGCAACAAUCUUUAUCAGCUCACUAACUAUCUUAACAUGACUUUAGGAGGUGUAAUACACAUACACAAAUUUAAUUUCCCUUGUGAUAUUAUCAAUGGACACUUGGCAAAGCAUUAGAGGCGUACGCUUACCAUAAAUAGAUGGCCUUCCUUUGUAAUUGAAACAUCUAAAAUGAUUAGCGAGACACUAACUUGAAGUAUGGGGGCGGAAGCGUAGAAUCUGCAUUUUAAUAUUUGGCUUGCUUAUUAUCAUUAUGUUCCCUUCGUCUUUUUAUCAUUUAUGUUAUUUACAUGCGUACUUUGGAUACUUCCCAAUUUAUUUCACAACAAAGCCAAAAUUCUCAUUAUAACUCAUUUCUCAUUUUUAAUAAUCAGUCAAAUUUUGUUGUGCUUAUGUUUUCCUUAAUUUUGUUUUCUUUCUUUUAUACAAACUGGGAUUUCUUUACAAUUUAUUCUGUUGUGUUAGAAUGAAUUUUUUUUUCUCAACACUUGUUGCUUCUUGCAUGCUGUUGUUUGAACUCCCCUCAUGGAUGAUAUCAAAUUCAUGGCUUUGAGCGCCACUUAUGUUCAAGAUUAUAACUUUAUGUUUACUCUAAACCUUAUCAUUCAUUGUGAUUAGCUUUGUUUUUGUCACUGUGUUAUCUAUUUUGUACCCUUAUUCAUGUUAACAAAAUGUACAUGAAAUUACAACUCUUUCAUUUGGCACCAUUAAUCAAAAUUUAUAGGAUUUGUCUAUUUUACCAAGAGGAAUGCUCUUUAUUUGGAGAUUGUAUCAAUAUUAUUUUUUCUUGUCCAGAUUUUGCGAGCGAAACACCCACAUGAGUGUAGAAUUUAUUUUGGUUUGCUUUAUUGUAUAAUAACUUCGCUACCGUUUCUCUUUUAACACACACACACAUACAUAUUUAAUUUAUUUUGGCUUUCGCUCGAGCACUAGCUAAUAAGCAAUUUGAAUUCUUGUUUGCGUAGAUGAAGUGAAGGGUAAGUGUUGACGACACGAGUACUUACUUGGGUAAUUUGUGGCUGGUGAAUGGUUAUUAAUGUUUCCGCCAGAGUGAAAGAGGGAUCAGAUGAGAAGAAGUUGAGUGGACUUGUUACUGGGAUUCCUGUCUGGUAAUUCCAUUUGAGUGGCAAGUAUUCGAUGGAGUUGGAAAAAUAUAAAAGGGCUGCAAGGACAAUUUUGACUCCAAAAGUGGGUUAUGGUUUGGCAGAUGGGUUGAAAAGAGCAGGGUUUUGGAUCAAGACAGUGUUAGAUAAGCCACAAGCUGUAGAUAUUUUGUUGAGGAAUCAUACGGUGGAUAUGAUGGACAAAAGAAGAAUUGAGUGUGUGGCUGUUGUGUUGGAUAAUUCAGAUUUUGUGGAGGUUUUGCACAAGGCAAGGUUGAGGUGUCUGAAGACCCUUUUUUUGGGGGGUUAUAAACGAUGAGGCUUUGAAGAGAAUUGCUGAUGCUUUUUUUCCUUCGAGUGAUAUAUUAAUGGGGAAGGCAAGGAAGGAAGCCAUAUCUGUUGUUGGCAAAUGGAAGGACCGAGAUGUUUGAAGAUGUCGGAGUGGACUUAUAAUCCAGAGCUGGAGAAGAAGCCUUGAUUGGGAUGAUGCAGAUUGUAUCAAGAAUGAAAAAAAUGGUGCCUGGUGGAAGCUGGAAUCUUCCGAUUCAAAAGCUACUUCAUAACAAUCGUGCUGAAGACAGUUGAUGGUAGUAUGUUUGACAUAUUCUGUGACUAGGUAAAGUUCUCUUACAAUCUCUUGCUAGCAUUUCUGAAAGCUUGAAAUAAUUGUUACUUGUACCAAACAUAGUUAUAUUUAUAUGGCUUCCCUUUUUUUACUUUAAAUGUUGCUGCUGAGAAUUAAAAAGAUUGUGUUUGGCUUUAUGGUAUCUUACAUAAAAUUUUGACCCAGUUUUCCAUAAAUAAAUCUUGCAAAAUUAUGAUUAAAAAACUAGGAAAAUAGAAAGCAUAGUCUCUGAUAGGCUAGUGGAAGGCAACCUUUGCAGCUCAGGUUUAUUGGAAUCUUGAAUUAUAUAAUCCAAUCUUUCACUUGAAUAUUUCCUGCAACAAAAGGCACAGUUGAAGAAGUAAUGGCAGUGGCAGUGGCCAAUGUGGUCAUGCUGCUUUUUCAUUUUAUGGACUUUACCAAAAAAAGGGGUGGUGGGGGGUAAGAGAAGAGAUUCACAGGCAUGGUUUCUCUUUUUACUCUGUUUUAUUUUACUAAUGCACAAUGUAAGAGAGUAGAUUAUGUUGCAUGCUAUUGGAUUUGUGUUACUAGAAUAAUCAUAUCGUGUUAUAGAACAUUUGAGCAGUCACAAGUCGCAACUUAGCUUCAGUGAAAUCUCUCACUCUUUUUGGGGAAAAUAUUUUGGAGCUGUAAGCUGUUGAUACCGCUAUGAAUGUGCUUAAUAUUGAAGUAGAACAGACAUGUUGACAGAGAUUUUGUGGGAUUUUGGAAGUUGGAAGGAUUGGCUAGCUGCAUCUUGGUCUGGACUCAAGCUUCAUGUGCCAAGGUAUACAUGUUCUGAAUACCAUAAAUUCCUAUUGCUUAUAAUUAUUAUUUUGUCUUCAAAGAAAUCUUUGAUAUGUCCUAAGACCAUCUACUAAUUGUAACUUGAUAUUCAAGCUUGAACCUCAAACCUCAUUGUUUUCAACACCAGAGAUUUUGCCAUCUCAAAAAGAAAAGUUAAUUAAACUUUUUGUGUUAAAUUUGUAGUUAGUAAUGUCAUAAUUGUUAAGUAACCUCUCGAUUUUUUUUUUACCUCUAAUAUGGUAAUUUGUAAAAGUAUUUAUUACUUCAUCCUACCAUCCAAAUAUUUCGUUAAUUGUCUGGGGAUAUACUAUUUUAAAUGUCAUUUAAACCAAUUUCUAUCAAAACAUGCAAAUAUUUCGUUGUACAGAAAUGGACAAAAAGGAGACCAACAUAAACACGGGUGUAGUAAAACAAGUUAAUAAUAUUUACCACCACAAACAUUAGUUAAUUGAUUAUUUCUACAAUAUAAUUAUAACAAUGAUUAUAUCAAAAGUUAAGGCAUUUCCUAAACAUGAAUAAUCCUUGGCCAAUCUUUAUUUUUUUGUUAAUAUCUUUUCAAUUGCUUUGCCGUCGUUCCAACAAUUUAACAAUGCUAAUACAAAUGUAAUAAUAUUUGGAUUUUAGAUGGCUUGAUAUAUUUUGUGAGUUGAUUUAACAUCAUUUUUCUAAAUAGUGAUGCAAGAAAAAUUCAAAAUGCAAAAACCAAUGUUACGGUUGUUUUAUGUUUUAAAAGAACAAAUGUUACUAGUUUUUAUUUAUUAUAGAUCCAAAAUUUAUUUAAGAUGCCAUAAUGUAAAAAAUUAAUUGAUUAUGACAGUUUAAGAAUUGAUUAAAAUUAACUAUUAAAUAAAAAAUUGAGAUAAAUAAUAAUAUUCUAAAAAUAAACGUUUAUUUUAUUAUGUACCACUGCCACACAGCGCCUAUAAUUGUCAAUUUCACAAGAGAGCGAAAAAUCCAUGAAGUUAUAUUAUAUGAAGUAGAGUCUUGAUGUUAUGCGUGUCGGUUCGCGUCAAGAUCAAAUUUCAUAUGAAGUAUGUUAAGAUCUUGAAUCUAAUUAGGUUUGGCAUCCUAUGACAAUAAUGUUUAUAUAAAGAGUGUCUUCGCUAAUUAUAUUUCCCAUAUAAAUUAGAAUUAUGUCUAAUUUGUUAUGGUUUGAAUCUAAAUUCUACGUGGAGAAUUUGGAAUUUUCCUCAAGUGAACGAUUCAGAAGUGUAUUUUCGUAUUUGCAUGCAAUUUGAGACGGAGUAAUUUGAAUAUAGAGAUGAAUUAAUUAUUUAAUUAUACUAAUGAGAGCUGUAAAACAUCUCGUGUCAUUGAAUGAUCCAUGUUCUUUGUAAAAACUUUAGGCCCAUUCAUGCUUAGGUUCAGGGUUGGUAAAAUCCAGAUUCGGAUUCGCAUUCAUAUUUCAAUAUCUGAAUUCGUAUAAAAAAAUGCGGAUCCAAAAGCGGGUAAUAUCCGCAACGGAUACCGGAGGAUAUUCUGGAUUUCCAAAUCCAUAAAAAUUAAAAUUAAAUAAUUUAAUAUAUAAUUUAAAAGUUCAAUAAUUUACCUAAUAAUAUCAAAUAAAAUUCAAUCAUAAUUCAAUGAUUAAUAAUUCAACAUGAAUAACAUACAAUAAUCUCAUAAAUCUACAAAUAAAAUAUAAUUUUUAUUUAAUUUUUAAUAUAUAUUUUUAAUUUAAUUUUUAAUUUUAAAUAAAAUUCAAUAAUUUACCUAAUAAUAUCAAAUAAAAUUCAAUCAUAAUCCAACCAUUAAUAAUUCAACAUGAAUAAUAUACAACAACAUCAUAAAAUCACAAAUAUAAUUUAUUUUUUAAUUUUUAAUUUAAAAUAAAAUGUAUCUGGAUCCGUGUGAAUUCCAAAUUUCCAUAUUCGAAUCCACAUUUUUUAAUUUGCAGACACAAUUUUUUUCAAAUCCGGCUUUAAUUGUCAUCCCUACUUAAGUCGCAGCAUCUUUGUCAGAUUGUUCAUCAAUUCUAAUGCCGUACAUAAAAUUUAAGAGUAUAUUUAGCAUUACUUUUCAAAUAUUAUUUUUAUAUUUAUUUUAUAAUAUGAAUAUGAUUAAUUUUAGUGAAUAUGAAAUUUGUUUUGAUAAUUUAUUUUAAAAUAGUAUUAUUUAAAAAAUUAUAAAAUAAAUUAUUUGUGGGACUCAUUUCUUUUGUCUAAUUUAAUUUAUUAUGAAAUUUUAAAUGCAAAAGAAAGUUACGUGGGUCCAUGAUAAUUAUCACACGAAUAAAUCAAGAAAAAAGUGGCAUGGAUGCACUUAUGAGGCAAAUGUUGCCGAAAACAACAAAAUGUUUUUCUCUACUUUUCUUCAUUAAAAGUAUAAAAUAAAAUAAUUUAUUUUUCACCAAAUACAACAACAUCUCAGAAAAAUGUUUCAAAACAAAAAAUGACUUACCAAAAACAAUAUCAAACUAAGCAAUUCCCUUUAUUUUCAAAAUAAAGAAUAACAAGUUUUCUUACUUGCCAGUAGCCGUUUAGAUUUUAUUUAGGGGUGAAACUAGAGAUGGCUAAGGGCCGACCGGUACGUGGCAUGGUACCGGAUACAUGUUUGUAUAGUUUGGCAUGGUAGGACACAUACAGAGGCUAGGUUAGGCUAUGGAUUUUAAGAGCACAAUUUAAUUAGAGAUGUGGUAAAGCAAGACAUGUGAAAAAAACCAAUAAUAAACACGCUUCAUUAGCAGGCUAGCAUAUGACCAUCGGCCAUCAAUAGCAAGCAGACUGACAUAUAUCAAAAUAAAAUUUUUCAUUAAUGUAGAGAUUUUAUUACCAUGGUCUAUGAAAUUAGAAUUAUGUAUUGUUGUAUUAUAAUUGGUUAUUGCAAAAUUAGAUAACAUAGUUGUGUUAAUGAAAUGUUAAUUAUUUAAUUUUAAUUUGAAACUUGUAAGUAUUAAUAUUAUUAUGGACUAUAAUCUAUAACUGUAUGUAAAUUCAAGUUAACAAUAAAAUGUUAACCCUUAAAGAAAACUUUAUUAUUAUUAUUAUUAUUAUUAUUAUUAUUAUUAUUAUUAUUAUUUUGUAGGCUGUAACUUAUUAACUAGUAUUGCAUUCUCUUACUACUGAAUUUCACAUGAGCUUUAAAAAAAAUAUAUGCACUUAAAAAAAGAACGUUAGGUAUGUAGACUUCAAAGAGCAUAUCAGACACGCCCUCACUAAAAAGAAAAAGAUUGUCGUGUCAUGUGGAGCCUCUCGUGCGCUCAAUCAGACGGAUGGUGCAGCCCGUUGGGCACCUUUAGGCGAAACAUAUUUGUUUGGGGAGCAUAAUAAAAAUAGGAUAUAAAACAGCUAAUAGGAUUGCUAACAAUGGGAUAAAUUGGAGUGGUGGAGAAUCUCAUAUUUAGGGGUGGCCAAAAAAACCGUGCAUUAGAAAAAAUUGAUUCGAACUGUUUCGUUCUAUUCAGACUGGUUUUAAUUUUAAAAAAUAACUGAAAUAUAUGGUUUGUAAAAAAAACCAAAAUACAGGUUCGGUAUUCGAUUCACUCAGCUGAACUGAAAAACUGAACUGAAAAACUGAGUUAUUCUUGGAAUUUUAUUUAAAUAGACACGUGUUAAAUUUUAAUUGGUUGCGUAAGAUAACUAAAAUAGGCAUGCACACACACGAUUAGGGGUGUAUAUAUAUAUAUAUUUAAAAAUUAUUGUCGGUGUUUGUUUCCAAAUUUUCUUUUUACUUUGUGUUGUAAGUUUUAAUUGUUGUUAUUUUUUUUUUUUUUUUUGUCUUUACAACAUUAUGUAACUAUGUUUAUGUAGAUGGAGUUUGAUUAUGUAUUUUGAAAUCUUAAUAUUUCAUAUUUUGUAAGUAUCUUAUUAGUAGUUAGUAAGAUAUUAGUGAUAAAAUGUGUUUUGAAUACUUUAUAUUUAUUAUUAAUAUUUGUAAUGAAAUUAGAAUAAAUUAAUUGUUGAAUAAAAUCAUUACAUUCAUGAGGCCUAAUGGACUAACAAUUUAUAAAUUCAAAAUAGGCCCAAAACUAAAAAAAUCGAACUGAACCAAACCGAUCCGAAAAAAUCCGUUUAUGUCCGGUUUUUAUUGAGUUCGGUUUUUAUUUAGUUCUUUUUAUAAAAUAACCGAUUUAAAUCGGUUCUUCUUAAUUUCGAUUCAAACCAAACCAAACUGUACCCACCUCUACUCAUAUUCCUUGUAAAUAAUUAGACCACAUUGGUCAUUGGGAAUUGGAGAAUUGGUGAAAAAUGCUGCGGCUACUUUGGGCCUUAGUUCGGGUGAAAAUUUUUCCACCCUAAGAUUUCAUUUUUAAAUUUUGGAUGGAGUUAUUUAUAACUUAAAACAUAUUUAAAAUGCCCUUUUUUUUCAUAACACCAAAUUAAAUUAAAGAAUUAUCAUAUUUGAAAAUAUAGAUUUUACUCUAUAAAACCCACCAAAAUGCCAAAACUAUUCUUAAUAUUUUUUUUCUUCCUCCACUCUCUCUCACACACAUAUAUAUAUAUAUUGGGUAUCUCGAUGACUCUUAACAUUAAAAAAAAAAAAAUUCUCUUGUACUGCUAUGAUACUCUUAUAUUAACUUGUUAGAAUUUUUUGUUGUUAACUAAAAUAUUUACGCACACACAAAAUUUACCUUCUUCAAUUUAUACGCAUCUACAGUCCUCUAUUUUGAAUUGUAGAGUUAAUUUUCACUUAUUUAAUUAAAAAAAGCAUCAUUUUAAAGGGUCCAGUUAUAGUACUACAAUGGUACCAUACUAUAAAUGGAUCCAACCGUUGCAUCUAAUUAUGAUGGUAACUAUAGACUGAAUCCAGCCGUAGUACGGUAUUAUUGUAAUACCAUAAUUUUGCCCCAUUUUGAAUUGAGGAAUCGUGAUCUAGUUUGCUUUUUGACAACCAAAUUGCGAAAUCAUCGAUUGCUUUUUGCUAGUGCUUGCAAUAAUUUGCUUUUGGCGGUGAUACUAAUCCGGCCAAAAAGUCGAUCUAUUGGCCGACAAGAUUGAUUGUCACUUUUUCUUUUUCUUUUUUUAACUUUUUUGGUGUAACCCAUUAUAACUUUAUUGCAAUCCAAAAUAGUAGACUGGUAGUCCAGUAUUUUCACUUUAUUGCAAUCCAAAAUGGUAGAUUGGUAGUCUAGCAAAAGGUCAAUUUGUGGUUUUUUCGGUUGUUACCCACAGAUUGAACUUGGUACAAUAACACCAGAAGAAGGAUUGACUCUACUAAAAAUGAAUGCCGGUAUUAAUGUAAACGACUCCUCCUUGGAUGGUGUUUCAAAACAAGUUGCCGACGAAUGUAAGGGGCUGCCUUUAGCUAUUGAAGCUGUUGGAAGUGCACUAAGAGAAAAAGGAUCUGAUGAAUGGAAACUAGCACUAAAUAACCUAAAGGAAGCAAAACUCUAUGCAAUAGAAGGUAUUGACAAGGAUGACCAAGACGUUUACGGUUGUCUUAAAUUCAGUUACGACAAUUUAAAUAGUGAGGAGUCCAAGUUAUGCUUCUUGUUGUGUUCUCUGUUUCCAGAAGAUUAUGAGAUUUAUUUGGAGGAUUUGGUUGGAUACGCAGUGGGGGUUAUUUGGUAUCAAUGUGCUCCGUCAAUAGAAAACGCCAGAAGCCGACUGCAUGGAACGAUUAGCGCGCUCAAAGCUGCGUCACUGCUGUUAGACACUGGUAAUGACAGAUCUGUGAAAAUGCAUGACAUAGUUCGUGAUGUAGCCAUAUGGAUAGGCUCAAUAGUUCUAGAGGAGAAGAAAUUUUUUAGUAAAGUGGGCAUUGGAUUGGCAGAACGGGCAAUGAAAGAAGGCCUGGAACAAUACAGCUCUUUGGCGGGAAAUAAAAAAGAAGAGCUUCCUAGUGGUUUGGUAUGCCCUAACCUUCAUAUUUUGCGAUUGGAGAAUCCUGAAUACGACCACCGAUUGCAAGUUCCAGAACAUUUUUUUGAAGGGAUGCCAGCAUUGAAAGUUGUCACUAUAAUAGGUGGUGUUCUUUCACUUAAAUCGCUUCAGAUCCUCACCAACCUCCAGGUUCUGCAGUUGAUUCGAUGUGAGGUGAGUGACGCGUCUUUCCUUGGAAAGUUGAAGAGGCUUGAACUUCUUUUUCUCGUGAAGUCUCCCAUUAAAAUUCUUGAAGAAUUGUCGGAUGAACUUCGUAGAUUGAAACUUCUAUAUAUUGAUACCGGUUCUGUUUCUCCCAUUGCGAUAAAAAAAUUUCCUCAAUUGGAAGAAUUUUAUGGUCGGAUAAAAAAUUGGGAGGUUGAAGGGAUGAGUUCAGAAGAAAGUAAUGCUAGGCUUGCUGAGUUUAGACCUGUUGUAUAUCUUUCAAAAGAUUUUACAUUCCCAAAAUUGCAAAGGUACAUGAUUAAAGGUGAACUAGUUGGCUAUAAAAUGGGAGAAGGUGAUGAGACAAGGAGCUUAAUCAUUGAUUACCCUUUUGAAGCGACCUCGCUCGGUAUUUUUUCAGCAUUGUAUCAAAAUCUGGAAUUUCUUGAUUUGAGCAGGAUAAUAGGUUGUCAUAAUAUUGUGCCAAGCAUAGAUUCAAGGGGUUUAAAUGAGUUGACUUUUCUUUCUAUCAACAAUUGUGAAGAUUUAGAAUGCAUAAUGGAUGCCUCUCAGUCGCCGCAAGGAGAGAGUGGGAAUCCUAUGAUGCUCUCAAGAUUAGCAAGGUUAUAUAUGCAGGAGUUACCAGAACUGAAGCAGAUAUGGAAGGCGCCUGCCCAACAUGUGAGCCUCCAAACUCUUACAGCACUGAGUGUGUACGAGUGCAACAACUUGACAUAUAUCUUCUCAUUGUCACAAGCUCGAAGUUUGGUGCAGCUUAAAACUCUCGAAGUGAGUGAAUGCGAGAGACUGGAAUGCAUUGUCAAAGUAAAGUUUGAUCAUAAAGAAGGGGAAAUAAGUGUAGCAGAUGAAAAUAGAAUACUCGAGCUCUCUUUGUUGAGAAAAUUAAGCCUUGAAGAUCUCCCCGAACUCAUCAGCUUCUGUUCAGAAAAUUAUUAUUCAACUUGGCCAGCGUUGGAAAAGUUAGACCUAAGAUGCUGUCCAAACUUGACCGUCAACAAUACUGAACUUGAAGUCAAUUUGCAGUAUCUUGGAGAGGUAUGUUCAUUUGUGUUUAUGUUUUUUUCUUUCUUUUUCUUCAAUUUUAUUCAAAUUGAUAGUUUAUCAAUAAUUUUUAUGAUCCGCCAUUCAUACCACCUUGCAUUUGUCUUUGUAGAGAGAGAUGAUGAUGAUGAUGGUAGUGCUAAUGGUGAUGAUAAUAAUAAAAUCCAAUAUGUUAGGGAAACUUCCUUAUUUUAGGGCCUAAAAUUCAUUCUUCAAAUGAAAGUCAAAUUCUCGUUUUUGUUUUGAAGGGGGAAAAAAAAGGUCGGAUGCAAACACUUGUGAAGUAUAUAUAAUAUUAAACAAAUUCAAUUAAUUAGUUAAUCAAGCCAUAGAAAUAGAAUACAAAUUUUUCAUAAACAAACAGAUUUCACCGUUAUAUCACUUCACAUGAUCUCUUUUAACUAAUUUCAUUUUUUUAAUAAAUCCAUUACUUUCAUAAAAUAUAACUAUUUUGUACGGAUUUGGAUUUUUUUUUUUUGGGUGUUAGUUUAUUGCUUAUCAUGAGAUAGUCCUAGCUGCUAAUAGAUUUUGAUUGCAUCAAGUUAUUUAUUUUUUCUCAGAAAUUACGAAUGCUAAACGUGAACGAUUGCUCCCAUUUGCGUGACACAAUUCCCGCACUGUUGAAGCAUGGGUUAAAAAAUUUGGAAGAAUUGAACAUUAUCGAAAUUGGAGUACAAACUUUUCCCAUGUUUGAAGACGUUAAACUUAGAAUAUCUUCUAGAACUGCAAGUGUUAUAUUAUGAAGGUCCCACGCAUCAUUGUAGCCUACAAAAUAUUACUGAUUUAACCACAAGGGGGUGCAUUAAGUUGAGACGUCUCCUCUCAUCAACACUUGCUCGAAAUCUGUUGCAAUUGAAGAGGUUGGUUAUUGAAUAUUGCUGGGAAUUAGAACAAAUCAUUGAUGAGGAUAAGGAUCAUCUCCAACCUGUAUGUUUCCCAAAACUCGAAGCGAUCGCUGUCCGUUAUUGCCUCAAACUAAAGAACCUUUUUCAUAUCAGCGUAGCUCCAAGUCUUCAAAACUUAACUCAUCUGCGGAUAGAAAAAAAUAAUGAAUUAGAAGAAGUAUUCUGGCAUAAAGAUGGAGCAGACGUCAUGGAUUACAAUGGAAUUGUUAUGAAUGAACUUCAGGAAUUGAGACUGGAAGAUUUACCAAACCUCACCAACUUUUGGCCUGCGGGUUAUCAGAUACCAUUCCACCUGCACACGUUCGUCGUUGUCCCAAGCCUCGCGCAAGUUCAGAAGGAAAUAGAUGAUUCCGAGAAUUCUGGAGCAGAGGUAAGCUCUUGAGAACUUUAAAUUAAUUGACUCUACAUAUAGUUGGUUCAUGUUUUCGUUUGUGACAGCUGAUUGAUCUAUCCUAAAACCAAUAGACCGUCAUUACAUGAACAUAUAUAUUAACAUUAAUUUCACAGAUGAGCCAUGGAGUUCUACCAAAAUUUCCCUUCAAAUAUCUUUUUUUUUCCUUUUCAUGUUUAUAGUUCUUAUUGUUAUAAUUUUCUCUGUUUGUUCUUUAAUGCCCAAUUUAUUGGUUGGAUAGCCACCGCAAACUACAAACGAGGAAGAUGCCAGCCAAGAGGGAGACGUCAGUGUAGAUGCCCGUGAAGAAGAAGAUGACGAGAAAUAUGAUUGAAAGAAAAAAGAAAAAAAAAGACGUUAUUAUCACUCUCAUUUCUUUGGGAAUGGCUGUUAGUUAGCCACGUAAUAUGGUCUUCUUCUUUAUUUUGUACUUGGUCUUUAGUGUUUCAGAGGGGUUCAGUUCGCGCAAGAACCUAACAAGCUUUAUUCUAUACUUGUUCUGCGGGUGGUCACUUAAUAUUUAUUGCGUGCUCAAAUUGUGAAGACUAAAGUUUUAAGGCUUUGUUGUAUGCAUGUGAAGAUUCGUUCAACUUCAAAUUUUACAUGUUCCUUUUGUGUUCACUGUUAAAACUUUGGCAAAUUUGUUGGCUAAAUUGAUGACCCUUUCGAUGGGCAUUAAUUGUGCCAAUUUAAUAUGCAUUUUGUAUUGAAGAACUUCAAAUGUUUAGCUUUUUGGAUGUCAAAAAGUGUGCGUCUUGACCGUAAUAAUUUUUAUUUUUUCAGUUUGUGAGAGUGUUGAAUGUAACUCAUAAAUGGAUUGGCUAUAAAUGUGUUUCUGGAUCUCUGGUACUUGUAAAUUUGUUAGCUACCCUUUCUUCUUGGCUUGUGGAAUGGGCAUUUGAAAGGUCAUUCUGUAAAAUAAUUUUUACUCAAUCAUGUUUUUUUUAAAAAGAUAUUUGAAAGGAAAAUUCUGUAGUUGUUUCAUUAAACAAUCAACCAUCCACCUUUAAAUUUCUCUAUUAUUAAGAAUACUAUAAUAUUUUCAAGUUGUAUCAUUUAUCUACACUAAUUUUAUAAUAUGUAUUAUUUAUUCAUUAUACUUGAGACUCAAUUUAACGUAAAAAGAUGUAAGAAAAUUAUUAAACAUAUAUCUUUACCUUAUUAUUAAAAAUACUACAAAAAUUUGACUUUGUGCUUUUAUUAACCACCAAGACAUUAAUAUUAUUAGAAUAUUAACAAAAUUUAAAUAAAAAUAUCAAUUUUACCUUUAAAUUCAUUUUUUCCUUUGUACCAUAAAUAAUAAAAUAGAAUUUAGCUUUUUUAAUUAUGAAAUCAGAUUUAACAAUUGGAUUGAUUGGGUGUUUAUGAAUUAAGGUUUAUGGUAAUAUUUAGAUUUAGCUUGAUUGGGUAAAGUUGUUUAGAUAAAUUGAGAAAAUAAAUUAGAAUUUUUUUAUUAAGAAAAAUAGAGUUUUAGAUGUAUUUAAUUGAAUAUUGGUUAUAAAAAUAGUUUUUCAUUUUUAUAUUUUAAACUAGUAUUUUAUUUUGUACGUACCGUAUAGUAAUUACGGAAAAUCUAAGCUGUAGUACCACUACCUGACAUCUUUAAAUAAAAAAUUGGCACCGUAACAAUGAAAGACCAAAUCAUAUCAAAGCAGAGAAAUGAAUUUUCACCCAAAUAAUGAUAUGUAAAUAGUGCCAAAGUUUUCGAAUUUAGACUCAUUUUCUCUCCUCAAUUCUAGAUUAAAUGACCGAUGAUAUGUUAUCAAUUGCAGGCCGCAGCAUCGAUAUCCCUCUCCCUCCAGAUACCUGAAUUAUGUUCAAGUUCUGUAUAUCUGUGUGUCGAGUGUGGUGCUAGCUGGCUACUAAUUUCUUUUCUUCUCUAUAAUAUGCAUAUGUUAACUAAUGGGCAAGAGCCAAUCUCACCUUUGUGUACUCUUGAGAGAAAGAAUUUGAUUGGUUAGACCAGAGGAUACGUGAAGUUUUAUUAAUUAAAUAUUUUUUUAAUAAUUUUAAUAAAUAAAAUUAUUGUUACAAUCCAGCUCACCAAAGAUAUCCUAAAUGCACUUCCAUGCAAAUUUAUAACAAAAAAUUUAAAUGAAGUAAAGGCCACUAAAAUUCAAAGCUGGAAAAAUAGAAUUCCAACACUCCUUCUAAAAUCUUAAGAAAUCCCACUUUUUAAUAAAAUUGUAAAAAAGGACAUAAAAUUAGAAUAGAAUUUUUAUUAGAUUUCAUAUCAUUUAAAAUAAAUUUUGUAAACAUACUUUUUCAUAAUAAAUUUACUGUUAUUAUAAUUUAUUUCUUCAUUGUUUAAAAAUUAUUUUGAUUUUAUCAGUAAAAUUAAUUAUAUCACAUAUUAGGAUUAGAAAAUAGUAAGGUUGCAUGAGUUGUAAAGACAUGUUUGUUUAAUUAAACUCAUAUUAAUCGUUUAUAUAAUUUUCAGUACAAUAAAAUUACGAUUACAAAAGUGAAGUGAUAUAAGGAUUAUGUUCAGAAUUAAAUGCCUGGGCUCGUAAAAGCCCAGGCCUGGCUAUCGACACCAGGCCCGGGCUUAGCCACACUUCCGGCCCAUUUGUUAUUCCUGUGAACAAGAACCCGUAUGAAAGAACAUACAAACAGAAGUCAAAACUUGUAAUUUGGUUAAGAAUUAGGGAGUAAAACAAUAUUUCAUUCAUCAAAGAAAAAUGGCCAUGCGAGUCGGAAACUCGGAAUCGAAGAUGGUAGUCGAUUUCUCAAUUUGCUGGCUCUUUCUUGUUUCUUCAUCUUCGACUUCAGCACAGACCCACAAGAAGGAAAAGCAUAACAAGAGCAUCAUAUGGCGCUGCCUUCUGGUUCCUACUCCGGCACCAGCUCCCUCCGGUAAUUCCAUUUUUAUGUUCUUUUAUUCCAUGUGUGUAAUUUUUUUUUCUAAUCAAUAUUUUCUUUGUUUUGUUUUAAAUGCGAUGGGAUGGAGUUUUUAUGAAUUGUUAUUGAAUGAUCAUUUAUUUUCUGAUCUGGGCGGGUUUUUGAGUAGUAAGAAUAGGUUGCUCUGGUUUCGGCUUUUUCGCUCGGUCUCGUUUAUGGAAACAUUAACCUCAAGUACCUCAAGGUACAAUCAUUCUUUGCUUCAACCUUUGUUCUUAAUUUUUGCUUUAUUUGUUUGUAAGUGAAAAUGAUAGAAGUUUAACUGCAUUGUUUUUUCUUUUUCAGUAUGUGGUUUAGAUAACGAUUUUAUUCUGGUUUCUUGCUGUGUAGCUAAUGUUAAUAAUUUGAUUAGAAUUUAUAGUGCUUUAUUUUAAUUUUUUUUUUUUUGCUUUCACCAAAUGGGGCUCACCGCUUCUUGGUGCUGCCCAAACUCACAUCAUUAUCAAAUGGCUAUUCUAGUGUUAGUUUAUAUUGUUUUCGAAAAUGCAGGAUAAUGAAUCUCUUUUAGAGAACAUGUUUUGGUACAGUUUAUAAAAUCAUUUGUAAUAUUGUGUAAAUUUUGAAAUUAAUAAACAGUAGUUUUCUUUUUCUUGUAAGUUUUAGAUCCUUACUUAAAGUUACUGCAUGCGAUAUUAUUUAGUAGAUGUGAGGGUUUAAUGAGAUUGAUGAUUUAGACCCAUCUUGUUAUUGGGAAAGUUCAAUGGAUGAGGGGAAAUGUGAAUUCAAUAGGUAAAAUUAUCACGGGCUGAGGGGAAAUGUGAAGUCAAGAGGAGGACUUAUGAAGGGACCAAAAUAUCUAAUUCAUAAUUGUUAUUGAGCUUUAUAGAUUUUAGUUUUUGUGUUUUAUUGCUGUGUUUCUACCUAUUAGUACAUUUAUUUUUCCUGUGUACAUACAACAAAUGGAUGAUCAUUUUCCUUUGAAAAUGCUUGUCUAAUACCUUUUUUUUUUCUUUUUCUUUUUUACUUAGUUGAAGGGAAAGUCUUUCAAGAUAGUUUCAAUUUUUUAAUUUUGGUCUAAAAGUAGUUCUUCUACUUAUUUUUCUUCCUGGAACGGUGGGGACAACAAAAGUCUACUACUAGUAGAUCAUUAGUUUCUGCGGUUCAUUGACACAUAAAGACCUGUAGCUGUAGUGAUGUUUCAAAAAUUUCAUUACUUAUGCGACUGAAUGACGUUUACUGAUUAGAAACCUAGAGCCCAUUUGUCUCAUUGUUUAGAUUUUCUCAUUUGGAGCUAAAUUCACAAAACGUAUCAUUAAUUGUAGAACUAAAAACUGUCCAACGCAAUGUGUGAAUUUUUAGGGAUUUGGACAACAAACCCCAAAUCAAUAUCUUCACUUGGGUUGUUAAAUACAUGGUGGCAUAUGCCAAUAGCCAUGCAUUUAGUUAUGUGCCUCAAGUUGUAAGAGAGCAAAGAGAAGAGAAAAACUGUUUAACCAAUUGGAAAGCAAGGGUGUAAUUAGGCCUGCUGAGCCGUAUUUAUGUGGUGUUUGUGAAAAGAGAUUUAAUAAUAAUGACAAACUUGUUAAUUAUUUUAUCCAAAUUCAUGAGUGUAAACAAAAGAAGAGAUUGAAUCAAGUAGAAUCAGCUAGAGGGAAGAGGAGAGUGCAUUUGAGUGGCAAGUAUUCAAUGGAGUUGGAAAAAUAUAAAAGGGCUGCAAGGACAAUUUUGACUCCAAAAGUGGGUUAUGGUUUGGCAGAUGAGUUGAAAAGAAUAGGGUUUUCGGUCAGGACAGUGUUAGAUAAGCCACAAGCUGCAGAUGUUUGUUGAGGAAUCAUGCGGUGGAUAUGAUGGACAAAAGAAGGAUCAAGCGUCUAGCUGUUGUGUUGGAUAAUUCAGAUUUUGUGGAGGUUUUGCAGAAGGCAAAGUUGAGGUGUCUAAAGACCCUUUUUUGGGGGGAUAUAAAUGAUGAGGAAGGCAAGGAAAGAAGCCAUAUCGGUUGUUUGCAAAUGGAAGGACCGAGAUGUUUGAAGAUGUCGAAGCGGACUUAUAAUCCAGAGGUGGAGAAGAAGCCUUGAUUGGGGUGAUGAGAGUGAGGAUGCAAAUGUUGAUGAUAUAACUCAUGCCACUGAUGCAGAUUGUAUCGAGAAUGAAAAUAAUUGUGCCUGGUGGAAGCUUGAAUCUUCCGAUUCAGAAGCUACUUCAUAACAAUUGUGCUAAAGACAGUUGGUGGUAGUAUGUUUGACAUAUUCUGUGACCAGGUAAAGUUCUCUUACAAUUUCUUGGUAGCAUUUCUGAAAGCUUGAAAUAAUUGUUCCUUGUACCAAACAUAGUUAUAUUCAUAUGGCUUCCAUUUUUUUACUUUAAAUGUUGCUGCUGAGAAUUAAAAAGAUUGUGUUUGGCUUUAUGGUAUCUUACAUAAAAUUUUGUCCAAGAUUUCCAUAAAUAAAUCUUGCAAAAUUUUGAUUAAAAAACUAGGAAAAUAGAAAGCAUAGUCUCUGAUAGGCUAGUGGAAGGCAACCUUUGCAGCUCAGGUUUAUUGGAAUCUUGAAUUAUAUAAUCCAAUCUUUCUCUUGAAUAUUUCCUGCAACAAAAGGCACAGUUGAAGAAGUAAUGGCAGUGGCAGUGGCCAACGUGGUCAUGCUGCAUUUUCAUUUGAUGGACUUCAGCAAAAAAAGGGGUGGCAGGGGGAAAGGAAGAGAUUCACAGGCAUGGUUUCUCUUUUUACUCUGUUUUAUUUUACUAAUGCACAAUGUUAGAGAGUAGAUUAUGUUGCAUGCUGUUGGAUUUGUGUUGCUAGAAUAAUCAUAUCGUGUUAUAGAACAUUUGGGCAGUCACAAGUCACAACUUAGCUUCAGUGAAAUCUCUCACUCUUUUUGGAGAAAAUAUUUUGGCGCUGUAAGCUGUUGAUACUGCUAUGAAUGUGCUUAAUAUUGAAGUAGAGCAGAUAUGUUGACAGAGGUUUUCUGGGGUUUUGGAAGUUGAAGGAUUGGCUAGCUGCAUCUUGUUCUGGAUUCAACCUUCAUGUGCGAAGAUAUACAUGUUCUGAAUACCAUAAAUUCCUAUUGCUUGUAAUUAUUAUUUUGUCUUUAAAGAAAUAUUUGAUAUGUCCUAAGACCAUCUACUAAUUGUAACUUGAUAUUCAAGCUUGAACCUCAAACCUCAUUGUUUUCAACACCAGAG